AUUGAACGCUGGCGGCAGGCCUAACACAUGCAAGUCGAACGAGUGGCGGACGGGUGAGUAAUGUCUGGGAAACUGCCUGAUGGAGGGGGAUAACUAAUGGAAACGGUAGCUAAUACCUCAUACCAUCAGCUGUGCCCAGAUUGGAUUAGCUUGUUGGUUGGGUAAUGGCUCACAAAGGCGACGAUACCUAGCUGGUCUGAGAGGAUGCCACGCCACACUGGAAAUGAGACACGGUCCAGACUCCUACGGGAGGCAUCAGUUGGGAAUAUUGCACAAUGGGCGCAAUCCUUAUGCAGCCAUGCCGCGUGUAUGAAGAAGGCCGUCGGUUUGUAAAGUACUUUCAGCGGGGAGGCGUUACCCGCAGAAGAAGCACCGGCUAACUCAGUGCCAGCAGCCGCGGUAAUUC
rnacentral:rRNA from 1 species